rnacentral:rRNA from 1 species
UACGGGGGAGGCCAGUGUUAUUCGUCGUAAUUGGGCGUAAAGGGUAUGUAGACGGUCUAUAUCAUUAAUUGUGAAAAUACCAUGGUGUAACUGUGGGGACUCAAGUAAGACGUAUAUGACUAGAGUUAUUUAGAAGAAAGUGGAAUUCUUGGAAUAGAAAUACAAAGCAGUGAUUCUAAGGGAACCCCCAAAGGCGAACGCAACUUUCUAUAUUUAACUGACGUUAAGGUACUGAGGCGUGGGUAGCGAUCUGG